rnacentral:rRNA from 1 species
GACGAAUGCUGGCUGCGUGCUUAACACAUGCAAGUCGAACGGUGAACAGGGGCUUGCCCCUGGGAUCAGUGGCGAACGGGUGAGUAACACGUGGGCAACCUGCCCCUCACUCUGGGAUAACUCCGGGAAACCGGGGCUAAUACCGGAUACGACCAGACACGACAUCGGGUCUGGUGGAAAGAACUUCGGUGAGGGAUGGGCCCGCGGCCUAUCAGCUUGUUGGUGAGGUAACGGCUCACCAAGGCGACGACGGGUAGCCGGCCUGAGAGGGCGACCGGCCACACUGGGACUGAGACACGGCCCAGACUCCUACGGGAGGCAGCAGUGGGGAAUAUUGCGCAAUGGGCGAAAGCCUGACGCAGCGACGCAGCGUGAGGGACGAC